UCGAGGGGCAGCAUGAAGUUUGCUUGCAAACUUUGAUGGCGACCGGCGCACGGGUGAGUAACGCGUAUCCAACCUUCCCUAUAGUAGAGAAUAGCCCGGCGAAAGUCGGAUUAAUGCUCUAUGUUAUUCAAAGCGGACAUCUAAUUUGAAUCAAAGGUUCACCGCUAUAGGAUGGGGAUGCGUCUGAUUAGCUUGAUGGCGGGGUAACGGCCCACCAUGGCGACGAUCAGUAGGGGUUCUGAGAGGAAGGUCCCCCACAUUGGAACUGAGACACGGUCCAAACUCCUACGGGAGGCAGCAGUGAGGAAUAUUGGUCAAUGGGCGAGAGCCUGAACCAGCCAAGUAGCGUGCAGGAUGACGGCCCUAUGGGUUGUAAACUGCUUUUAUGCGGGGAUAAAGUCGGCUACGCGUAGCCGUUUGUAGGUACCGCAUGAAUAAGGACCGGCUAAUUCCGUGCCAGCAGCCGCGGUAAUACGGAAGGUCCGGGCGUUAUCCGGAUUUAUUGGGUUUAAAGGGAGCGCAGGCCGGAGGUCAAGCGUGACGUGAAAUGUAGGGGCUCAACCUUUGAAUUGCGUCGCGAACUGGUUUCCUUGAGUGAGUACGACGUCAGCGGAAUUCGUGGUGUAGCGGUGAAAUGCUUAGAUAUCACGAAGAACCCCGAUUGCGAAGGCAGCUGACGAGUCCUUUACUGACGCUAAAGCUCGAAGGUGCGGGUAUCGAACAGGAUUAGAUACCCUGGUAGUCCGCACGGUAAACGAUGGAUGCCCGCUGUUUGCGAUAUAUUGUAAGCGGCCAAGCGAAAGCGUUAAGCAUCCCACCUGGGGAGUACGCCGGCAACGGUGAAACUCAAAGGAAUUGACGGGGGCCCGCACAAGCGGAGGAACAUGUGGUUUAAUUCGAUGAUACGCGAGGAACCUUACCCGGGCUUGAACUGCAGGAGAACGAUCCAGAGAUGGUGAGGCCCUUCGGGGCUCCUGUGGAGGUGCUGCAUGGUUGUCGUCAGCUCGUGCCGUGAGGUGUCGGCUUAAGUGCCAUAACGAGCGCAACCCCUUUCGCCAGUUGCCAUCAGGUGAUGCUGGGCACUC
rnacentral:rRNA from 1 species